rnacentral:rRNA from 1 species
CCCUCUGGGGUGCGUUCUAUACGCCACGGUGGUCUGGCACUUCCUUACCCUGACCCCGCUGUUCUUUCUGCUCUUCUGUCUGAGCUGGCUCUAUGGUUUGAUGGUUCUGCAGCACUUGCCCGAUUCAUGGUAUCUCCUGGGAAGCCUUCCAGGCCUGGCGGGCUUGUUUGCUGCAAGCCGCCAACUGCUGAACAGCCGCUCGACGGCCAUGGGACUCAUUGUUUACAGGGCAUGGCUGUGCAUGGCUGUCGUGCUGGCAGCAUGGAGUAUUGCCCACGGACGACCGGGAUGGGGGGCGAUGGGUACGGCCUUGACCAUGACGGUCCUCACCCUUGGGGGUCUUCGCUUUGCGCCUGACGGAUUGUUCGAUAGAGCAGGCACCGCGGGGAGCACGCGGGACCGGUUGAGCGGACCAUGGUUCUAUAGCGUAAGUUUCAUGGCGGGAGAGC